rnacentral:lncRNA from 14 species
CAAGGUAUGAUGGGUUCAGACUGAAACAGGUCAGAUCUAAGGCAGAAGCUGUUCCCUGUGAGGGUGCUGAGGCGCUGGCACAGGGUGCCCAGAGAAGCUGUGGCUGCCCCAUCCCUGGCAGUGCUCAAGGCCAGGUUGGACACAGGGGCUUGGAGCAGCUGCUCCAUGGAAGGGGUCCCCAUGGCAGGGGUUGGAGCUGGAGGAGCUUUAGGGUCCCUUGAAGUCCCCAGGCUGUGACUGUGUCUCCUUGCUCCCCACAGGCUGACUGGUGCAUCUGGCCCUGGGCUCAGCUCAUCAACUUCCUCUUCCUGCCCCCCAAGUACCGGGUGGUUUACGUCAAUGUGAUCACGCUGGGCUGGGACACGUACCUGUCCUACCUCAAACACAGGCCCGGCACCCCCCCGAGCACAGACUAGCACAGGGUCGGGAUGUGAAGGAGCUGCUCUCAACCCCAUGGUGUUUCCUGGAGACCAUCAGCACCACCUCAGUUCUUGCUGCUUAACCCAUCUAUUGGCUGCAGCACUGGGUUGGGGCUGUGUUCGGAACCCAUCGAUGCUCCUGGGAGCCAUUGGGAGGAUGCUCACCAAGAAACCACAUCAGUUUGUGCUCCUCUUCGGAGACGACCCAGUGACCCCCAGAGGCGAGUGAUCAGCAGUGAUUUAUUCACACCAGCUCUGGAAUACAGUGACUUUUAGGAAAUUUGUCCUUUUUUUUGUCUUUUUUUCCUCGUUUUGGUUUUUUUUUGACACUUUUGACAUUUGUACAGUACAGAGUUCACUCUUCCAUAAGUAAACUUCACAAAAAGUAGGAAAGGGGCAGGGAAAGGGGGAUCUGCAGUCAGGGAAAGAGGAGAAGAUGGGGAAAAAGGGGGAAAAACCUGGAAAAUAAACCCACAGAACUCCAAAGAAAUAAAUAAGAG